GAUGAACGCUAGCGGUAGGCUUAACACAUGCAAGUCGAGGGGUAACAGUCCCGCUUCGGCGGGAGCUGACGACCGGCGCACGGGUGAGUAACGCGUAUGCAACUUUCCUGUAACUGGAGGAUAGCCCCUGGAAACGGGGAUUAAUACUGCGUAAUACCUAAAUACCACAUGGUAUUAAGGUCAAAUCUACGGAGGUUACAGAUGGGCAUGCGUGCCAUUAGCUAGAUGGUAAGGUAACGGCUUACCAUGGCAAUGAUGGCUAGGGGUUCUGCAAGGAAGGCCCCCCACACUGGUACUGAGACACGGACCAGACUCCUACGGGAGGCAGCAGUGAGGAAUAUUGGUCAAUGGAGGCAACUCUGAACCAGCCAAGCCGCGUGAAGGAAGACUGUCCUAUGGAUUGUAAACUUCUUUUGUGGCAGAAUAAACUACCGUACUUGUACGGUAUUGCAUGUAUGCCAUGAAUAAGCAUCGGCUAACUCCGUGCCAGCAGCCGCGGUAAUACGGAGGAUGCAGGCGUUAUCCGGAUUUAUUAGGUUUAAAGGGUGUUCAGGCUGCCUGGUAAGUCAGGGGUGAAAGUCGGUUGCUCAACGAUCGAAUUGCCUUUGAAACUGUCAGGCUCGAGUAUGGAUGCGGUAGGCGGAAUGUGUAGUGUAGCGGUGAAAUGCAUAGAUAUUACACAGAACACCGAUUGCGAAGGCAGCUUACCAAACCAGCACUGACGCUGAAGCACGAAAGCGUGGGGAGCGAACAGGAUUAGAUACCCUGGUAGUCCACGCCGUAAACUUUGCUCACUCGCUGUUGGCGAUAGACAGUCAGCGGCCAAGGGAAACCGAUAAGUGAGCCACCUGGGGAGUACGCCGCAAGGUUGAACUCAAAGGAUGACCGGGGCCCGCACAAGCGGUGGACAUGUGGUUAAUUCGAUGAUACGCGAGGAACCCCUUACCCUGGGCUUAAAUGUGAAGUGCAUUGAUUGGAAACAAUCAUUUCCUUCGGGACCCUUUACAAGGUGCUGCAUGGUUGUCGUCAGCUCGUGCCGUGAGGUGUCGGGUUAAGU
rnacentral:rRNA from 1 species